GACGAACGCUGGCGGCGUGCUUAACACAUGCAAGUCGAGCGGUAAGGCCCUUUUGGGGGUACACGAGCGGCGAACGGGUGAGUAACACGUGGGUGACCUGCCCUCAGCUCUGGGAUAAGCCUGGGAAACUGGGUCUAAUACUGGAUAUGACCUUUCCUCGCAUGGGGUUGGGUGGAAAGUUUUUCGGCUGGGGAUGGGCCCGCGGCCUAUCAGCUUGUUGGUGGGGUGAUGGCCUACCAAGGCGACGACGGGUAGCCGGCCUGAGAGGGCGACCGGCCACACUGGGACUGAGACACGGCCCAGACUCCUACGGGAGGCAGCAGUGGGGAAUAUUGCGCAAUGGGCGGAAGCCUGACGCAGCGACGCCGCGUGGGGGAUGACGGCCUCGGUU
rnacentral:rRNA from 1 species